rnacentral:rRNA from 1 species
UGGGUUUAAAGGGUGCGUAGGUGGGUAUUUAAGUCAGWGGUGAAAUCCURGAGCUUAACUCYAGAACUGCCWUUGAUACUAUYUAUCUUGAAUAKUGUGGAGGUAAGCRGAAUAUGUCAUGUAGCGGUGAAAUGCWUAGAUAUGACAUAGAACACCUAUUGCGAAGGCAGCUUACUACGCAUAUAUUGACGCUGAGGCACGAAAGCGUGGGGAUCAAACAGGAUUAGAUACCCUGGUAGUCCACGCCCUAAACGAUGGAUACUCGACAUACGCGAUACACUGUGUGUGUCUGAGCGAAAGCAUUAAGUAUCCCACCUGGGAAGUACGACCGCAAGGUUGA